rnacentral:misc_RNA from 1 species
GAUGAAGAACGUAGCGAAAUGCGAUAAGUAAUGUGAAUUGCAGAAUUCAGUGAAUCAUCGAAUCUUUGAACGCACAUUGCGCCCGCCAGCAUUCUGGCGGGCAUGCCUGUUCGAGCGUCAUUUCAACCCUCGAGCCCCCCCGGGGGCCUCGGUGUUGGGGGACGGCACACCAGCCGCCCCCGAAAUGCAGUGGCGACCUCGCCGCAGCCUCCCCUGCGUAGUAGCACACACCUCGCACCGGAGCGCGGAGACGGUCACGCCGUAAAACGCCCAACUUCGUAGAGUUGACCUCGGAUCAGGUAGGAAUACCCGCUGAACUUAAGCAUAUCAAUAAGCGGAGUA